ACAUCCUCAACCUGCUUGGUUUUAUCGAACCAAGUAGGCUUGGAAUUUGGAGGUUUUCUGCUGGCCUCCUCCGAAGCCAGCUCCUCUUAAAUGUAUCAGUGGGGUCCGCUUUGCUAGAUCCUCAAUGUUGAUAAGAUAUUUCUACAUCUUGGGUUUUGCUCGAGAAGGAACCUGCUUCUAACUGUCCCAUCAGGGACAAUGUUUGAGCCGAUCGCCCUUCACGGGAUGGGAAGCUUUCGACCUAUGAAA
rnacentral:misc_RNA from 1 species